AUUGAACGCUGGCGGCAUGCUUUACACAUGCAAGUCGAACGGUAACAGGCCGCAAGGUGCUGACGAGUGGCGAACGGGUGAGUAAUGCAUCGGAACGUGCCCAGUCGUGGGGAUAACGCAGCGAAAGCUGUGCUAAUACCGCAUACGAUCUAUGGAUGAAAGCGGGGGACCGUAAGGCCUCGCGCGAUUGGAGCGGCCGACGUCAGAUUAGGUAGUUGGUGGGGUAAAGGCCUACCAAGCCAACGAUCUGUAGCUGGUCUGAGAGGACGACCAGCCACACUGGGACUGAGACACGGCCCAGACUCCUACGGGAGGCAGCAGUGGGGAAUUUUGGACAAUGGGCGCAAGCCUGAUCCAGCAAUGCCGCGUGCAGGAAGAAGGCCUUCGGGUUGUAAACUGCUUUUGUACGGAACGAAACGGUCUGGGUUAAUACCCUGGACUAAUGACGGUACCGUAAGAAUAAGCACCGGCUAACUACGUGCCAGCCGCCGCCGCAGUAA
rnacentral:rRNA from 1 species